GUAGACGUUAGCUCAGUGGUUAGAGCACAGGUCUCUGGCUCUCGGGUCCGCGAGUUCGAGUCCCGUCGUCUACU
rfam:Nasonia vitripennis chromosome 5 unlocalized genomic scaffold Chr5_random020, whole genome shotgun sequence.